rnacentral:rRNA from 1 species
GGGUGGUGUUUUAAUAGAACAUUACAUUGACGUUAGUCACAGAAGAAGCACCGGCUAACUCCGUGCCAGCAGCCGCGGUAAUACGGAGGGUGCGAGCGUUAAUCGGAAUGACUGGGCGUAAAGGGCACGCAGGCGGUGACUUAAGUGAGAUGUGAAAGCCCCGAGCUUAACUUGGGAAUUGCAUUUCAUACUGGGUUGCUAGAGUAUUUUAGGGAGGGGUAGAAUUCCACGUGUAGCGGUGAAAUGCGUAUAGAUGUGGAGGAAUACCGAACGCGAACGCUGUCCCUUGGGAAAAUACUGACGCUCAUGUGCGAAAGCGUGGGAAGCAAACAGGAUUAGAUCCCUUGGUAGUCCACGCUGUAAACGCUGUCGAUUUGGGAAUUGGGCUUAGAGCUUGGUGCCCGUAGCUAACGUGAUAAAUUGACCGCCUGGGGAGUACGGCCGCAAGGUUAAAACUCAAAUGAAUUGACGGGGGCCCGCACAAGCGGUGGAGCAUGUGGUUUAAUUCGAUGCAACGCGAAGAACCUUACCUACUCUUGACAUCCUAAGAAGAACUCAGAGAUGAGUUUGUGCCUUCGGGAACUUAGAGACAGGUGCUGCAUGGCUGUCGUCAGCUCGUGUUGUGAAAUGUUGGGUUAAGUCCCGCAACGAGCGCAACCCUUAUCCUUUGUUGCCAGCGAUUUGGUCGGGAACUCAAAGGAGACUGCCAGUGAUAAACUGGAGGAAGGUGGGGAUGACGUCAAGUCAUCAUGGCCCUUACGAGUAGGGCUACACACGUGCUACAAUGGUGCAUACAGAGGGUGACGAAGCCAAUC